GAGCAUUCGAUCUGAACAGUAGUGGACACACUGACCCGCUGGCUACUCCAAGUCACCAUGGACCCUGAAGAGCAUCCUGUCCUCAAGGCUCUGGUCCAUUGCUGCCUCACACAUGUGACCGACACACAGUCUGAUGUCUGACUCCGGCUCAGCCAGAAGGCCGGGAGCCAAGCCUGGAAUCUCGAAGAGCGCUGUAUUAAUAUAGCAUGUGGUCUGGCCCACCAUUUUCUCUUUUCUGACCUGGAGGAAGUUUUUGCCAGGGCACUCUGGUUCCCCAAGAAGACUGUUGUAGUUCUGGUGCAGCCUUACCACCAUAGACAGUGGGCACAUGGGAGGGUGGUGGAACGAAGGACCCAUUGCUUGAGGCCGUUCAGGUCCUUUGUCUCUGUCUUUCCUGGGAUCUAAGGUGACUGCAGGCAUGACUCAGGAAAAAGAGGACAAAGCAGAGCCAGACCAGUGACUGCCUCUCUCUCGGUAGCCGGCUGUGUGGGACCCCCAUGGCCAGCCUGGCUUUAGGACUGAGCCCAUACUGCCCAGUUGUGUGAACUUACCCUAUUUUGUACCUUCAUUUCCUUACCUAUAAAAUGUGUAUAAUUGUGGUUAUGAA
rnacentral:lncRNA from 1 species